rnacentral:rRNA from 1 species
AAGCGGAGGAAAAGAAACCAACAGGGAUUGCCCUAGUAACGGCGAGUGAAGCGGCAACAGCUCAAAUUUGAAAUCUGGCUCUUUUAGAGUCCGAGUUGUAAUUUGCAGAGGGCGCUUUGGCUUUGGCAGCGGUCCAAGUUCCUUGGAACAGGACGUCACAGAGGGUGAGAAUCCCGUACGUGGUCGCUGGCUAUUGCCGUGUAAAGCCCCUUCGACGAGUCGAGUUGUUUGGGAAUGCAGCUCUAAAUGGGAGGUACAUUUCUUCUAAAGCUAAAUAUUGGCCAGAGACCGAUAGCGCACAAGUAGAGUGAUCGAAAGAUGAAAAGCACUUUGGAAAGAGAGUCAAACAGCACGUGAAAUUGUUGAAAGGGAAGCGCUUGCAGCCAGACUUGCUUACAGUUGCUCAUCCGGGUUUCUACCCGGUGCACUCUUCUGUAGGCAGGCCAGCAUCAGUUUGGGCGGUAGGAUAAAGGUCUCUGUCACGUACCUCCUUUCGGGGAGGCCUUAUAGGGGAGACGACAUACUACCAGCCUGGACUGAGGUCCGCGCAUCUGCUAGGAUGCUGGCGUAAUGGCUGUAAGCGGCCCGUCUUGAAACACGGACCAAGGAGUCUAACAUCUAUGCGAGUGUUUGGGUGUCAAGCCCGAGCGCGUAAUGAAAGUGAACGGAGGUGGGAACCCGCAAGGGUGCACCAUCGACCGAUCCUGAUGUCUUCGGAAGGAUUUGAGUAAGAGCAUGGCUGUUGGGACCCGAAAGAUGGUGAACUAUGCUUGAAUAGGGUGAAGCCAGAGGAAACUCUGGUGGAGGCUCGCAGCGGUUCUGACGUGCAAAUCGAUCGUCAAAUUUGGGCAUAGGGGCGAAAGACUAAUCGAACUAUCUAGUAGCUGGUUCCUGCC